CGUUUUAUUCAACAAAUUCUCUGGUCACAUGUGAACAAAAGAUUUAGAAUCUGAAUCGAUAUAAAACAAACUGAAUCUCUUAUUUGACAAGUUUCCUUUCCACUAGUACUUAGUAGUGGACAAAAGAUUUGGAAUGAGAAUCUUUUACUUGAUACUUAUUUCCUUGUAAAACGAUCCUGAAUCUGAAUCAUAAAAAAACUUUUAUUUGACAAAUGUCUAAGUACACUUGGUCUUUGUGCACAAAUGAUUCAGAUUCAGAAUCAUUUACUUUAUUAAUGACUUGCUUGGUAAUGAAAUGAUUUAUUAUCAUAAAAUUUUAUUAAACAACAUUCCAAACAAAACGUUUUUAAACGAUUCAGAAUCAGAAUCAACAACUGAAUCUUUUAUUCAGCAACAUCCUUUUACAUGCACUUAGUGAACAAAAGAUUCAAAAGAUUCAGAAUCUUUCACUCGACGAUUCAUUGUAAACCUUUACUUACUAAAUUAAAAAGAAUCAUAAUCUUUUAUUCAGGAAAUUCUUUUCAGCUUGUAAUGGAUGAAUUAAAGAUUCACAUAGAGAUUUUUGUCUGUUUUCGAUCUGCGGUGUCAUUUUCAGUGGCCUUCUCUCUUUAUCAGUGUCUUUGCUUGAUGAAUUAGCACCAGGCGUUGAGAGAAAGUGGAGCUUUGUUUGCUGCAGGUUCACGAGAUGUUUGUUUGCGCUGCUGUACGUGUCAGUGUGGGAACGCUGUUCUCUACGGUCGCCAUGAGAACUCGUCCGUUUCGGCUUUCCCGCUACACGCUCCCUGGACGCAGGAGUCGCAAGGAUUCCCAAACCUACCCGGGGUCCCGAGCUGGAAAAUUCCCAGCAGGCUUGCUGCUUCAGCGUGGGAAUCGAGGGCAGGGAUGAGAGGAUGUAGGAGAUAUGUGAGAGUGUCCUCUGUCUCUGAUGG